CACCUCGACUAUGAUGACUAUUUUUUUCCCCAUCUUAUCGACAAAUGAAGAUGCUGCUGCUGUUUCAAGCCAUUUUAAUCUGAGUUGAGGUG
rnacentral:snoRNA from 1 species